UACGGAGGGAGCUAGCGUUGUUCGGAAUUACUGGGCGUAAAGCGCACGUAGGCGGCUUUGUAAGUUAGAGGUGAAAGCCCGGGGCUCAACUCCGGAACUGCCUUUAAGACUGCAUCGCUUGAAUCCGGGAGAGGUGAGUGGAAUUCCGAGUGUAGAGGUGAAAUUCGUAGAUAUCGUCAGGAAUGCCGGUGGUGAAGACGGGUGACUGGGCUGGUUCUGACACUGAGGCACGAAAGCGUGGGGAGCGAACGGG
rnacentral:rRNA from 1 species